UACGUAGGGUGCAAGCGUUGUCCGGAAUUAUUGGGCGUAAAGAGCUCGUAGGCGGUCUGUCGCGUCGGAUGUGAAAAUCCAGGGCUCAACCCUGGACCUGCAUUCGAUACGGGCAGACUAGAGUUCGGCAGGGGAGACUGGAAUUCCUGGUGUAGCGGUGAAAUGCGCAGAUAUCAGGAGGAACACCGGUGGCGAAGGCGGGUCUCUGGGCCGACACUGACGCUGAAGCGCGAAAGCCAGGGGAGCGAACGGG
rnacentral:rRNA from 1 species